rnacentral:rRNA from 1 species
UACGUAGGGUGCGAGCGUUAAUCGGAAUUAUUGGGCGUAAAGCGCGCGCAGGCGGUCCUUUAAGUCUGAUGUGAAAGCCCACGGCUCAACCGUGGAGGGUCAUUGGAAACUGGGGGACUUGAGUACAGAAGAGAAGAGUGGAAUUCCACGUGUAGCGGUGAAAUGCGUAGAGAUGUGGAGGAACACCAGUGGCGAAGGCGACUCUUUGGUCUGUAACUGACGCUGAGGCGCGAAAGCGUGGGGAGCAAACAGG